UACGGGGGGUGCGAGCGUUGUCCGGAAUCACUGGGCGUAAAGGGCGCGUAGGUGGCGUGAUAAGGGUGUGGUGAAAGCCCGGGGCUCAACCCCGGGCCCGCCAUGCCGACUGUCAGGCUAGAGUACUGUAGGGGCAGGCGGAAUUCCGGGUGUAGCGGUGGAAUGCGUAGAGAUCCGGAGGAAGACCGGUGGCGAAGGCGGCCUGCUGGGCAGUUACUGACACUGAGGCGCGACAGCGUGGGGAGCAAACAGG
rnacentral:rRNA from 1 species